GACGAACGCUGGCGGCGUGCUUAACACAUGCAAGUCGAACGGUAAGGCCCUUCGGGGUACACGAGUGGCGAACGGGUGAGUAACACGUGGGUGAUCUGCCCUGCACUUCGGGAUAAGCCUGGGAAACUGGGUCUAAUACCGGAUAGGACUCCGGACUGCAUGGUCUGGGGUGGAAAGAUUUUGCGGUGUGGGAAGGGCCCGCGGCCUAUCAGCUUGUUGGUGGGGUGAUGGCCUACCAAGGCGACGACGGGUAGCCGGCCUGAGAGGGUGACCGGCCACACUGGGACUGAGAUACGGCCCAGACUCCUACGGGAGGCAGCAGUGGGGAAUAUUGCACAAUGGGCGCAAGCCUGAUGCAGCGACGCCGCGUGAGGGAUGACGGCCUUCGGGUUGUAAACCUCUUUCAGCAUCGACGAAGCGAAAGUGACGGUAGGUGCAGAAGAAGGACCGGCCAACUACGUGCCAGCAGCCGCCGUAA
rnacentral:rRNA from 1 species